GGCCGCGGUUGCGGGUCUGUCCUCCGCAGCCGGUUCGCCUGGUUGCCCGGCCCGCACCGUUACGUAGCAACGCCUCUGUCGGGUAGGGCUUCCGCGCCACGCCCUUCGGUCCGGCUCUUCCCUCGGCUUCCCUCCGGUGCGGGGCUUUUCCUUGACUCCAGGAUAGUCAUCGCCAAGAACAAAGCCCCCACCAGAUGAGACCCCUAGACUGUUGACUUCCCAGCCUCCAGAACUAAACCACCAUAAAGGCUCUUGCCAACACUUUCCUUUCGCUCCUGACAAACCCUGGAGCUUCCCUGUGUGGCCCCUGCAUGGAACAGUGUGCCCUCUCAUCUUAGGAACUCACUAGCCACCAUUUAUUGAGGAUAACCGUGCCUGGCGCCAGGCCCUGGCUGUCUGGUGGAGUCCACGCAGCAAUCUGAGGAGGGGGAUGCCCUACAGUACAGCUAAGAGAGAGCCCGCUCCAGAGACGGAGUCGGGAUUUGUACCGAGCAGCGAGUCCGGCGCCCGCGCGGUCAACGACAGGGACCGGGAAGCGACAAGAACGGAGCUGGGGCCGGGAGCCCGCCCGCCGCCGAGUCCGCGCCUCCGCGCAGCCGCUCAGAUUUGAUCUUUUUACAGCCAGGCAUUCUCCUGAAUAUUAUAGUAGAAGCGCUGCGAUUUGAAUUUAAGGAGGUUAUCUGGAUAAUAUUUUGAUUUAAGCGUAACCGAUUUCCAUGAAUGCUUCUACUAGUAUUUUGGGAAUGGGAAAAGUGAAUA